UAGUGUGUGUGGUGGAAAGUUUUUUCGGUACGAGAUGAGCCCGCGGCCUAUCAGCUUGUUGGUGGGGUAAUGGCCUACCAAGGCGUCGACGGGUAGCCGGCCUGAGAGGGUGGACGGCCACAUUGGGACUGAGAUACGGCCCAGACUCCUACGGGAGGCAGCAGUGGGGAAUAUUGCACAAUGGGCGCAAGCCUGAUGCAGCGACGCCGCGUGAGGGAUGACGGCCUUCGGGUUGUAAACCUCUUUCGACAGGGACGAAGCUUUUUGUGACGGUACCUGUAUAAGAAGCACCGGCUAACUACGUGCCAGCAGCCGCGGUAAUACGUAGGGUGCGAGCGUUGUCCGGAAUUACUGGGCGUAAAGAGCUCGUAGGUGGUUUGUCGCGUCGUCUGUGAAAUUCCGGGGCUUAACUCCGGGCGUGCAGGCGAUACGGGCAUAACUUGAGUGCUGUAGGGGAGACUGGAAUUCCUGGUGUAGCGGUGGAAUGCGCAGAUAUCAGGAGGAACACCGAUGGCGAAGGCAGGUCUCUGGGCAGUAACUGACGCUGAGGAGCGAAAGCAUGGGGAGCGAACAGGAUUAGAUACCCUGGUAGUCCAUGCCGUAAACGGUGGGCGCUAGGUGUGAGGGUCUUCCACGACUUUCGUGCCGUAGCUAACGCAUUAAGCGCCCCGCCUGGGGAGUACGGCCGCAAGGCUAAAACUCAAAGGAAUUGACGGGGGCCCGCACAAGCGGCGGAGCAUGUGGAUUAAUUCGAUGCAACGCGAAGAACCUUACCUGGGCUUGACAUAUACAAGAU
rnacentral:rRNA from 1 species